AAGCCCAUCUGCGCACUGUGCCCUGAGGUGCAAGAGGAUGCAGGGUGGAAGUCGUCCCAAGAGAGUCCAGGGAUCAAGUGGGCAUGCCCUUUUAGCCUUGGCACGAAAUGGAGCAGAAAAAGAGCCGGAUGCGGAUUACUGUGGUGCCCUAGGCUCAGAUUCUGCUGAGUCACUGUGACUGCGGAUUUGGAAGGCUGAGAGUCCUGGGGAGACAUGCUCCGUGGAGACGAAUUUGUUUCUUCCUUUGCAAGAUUCAGAUUCUGCACUUGGGGGCCCAUACAACACACUUCCCUGGGUGCAUGCCACUGCACCACCCCUGCUCCUCAAGGCAGAAACCUGACUAAUACACACCUGUAAUCCCAGCACUUUGGGAGGGCAAGGCAGGCGGAUCCCUUGAGGCCAGAAAUUUGAGACCAGCCUGGGCAACACAGCAAGACCCCAUCUCUACAAAACAUAAUUUUAAAUAAAAUUAGGCCCGUGUGGUAUUAUGCGUCUGUAGUCCCCCUCACUUGGGAGGCUGAGGUGGGAGGAUUGCUUGAGCCCAGACAGUGAAGGCUGCAGUGAGCCAAAGAUCUCACCAUCGCACCCCAGUUUGGGUGGCAGA
rnacentral:lncRNA from 10 species